rnacentral:lncRNA from 1 species
AGAAAUAUUUAGUAAGUUCUGUUUCACUGGACAUGUAUAGAGAGAACUAGAAACACGUAAUGCUUCUGAUACAUUAUGCUUGAAAUGGAAUCUAAUGGAGAUUCAGAAUAAAUGAAUAAAAGAUAUACAUUUAUCUAAUUGUUAUUGUGCUACAAAUAAAAGGAAGUAAGGCAUUUCAAACAACCUCUGGCACAAAUAUGGUAAUUCCUGGUUUUUUUCUCUUGGAUUUCCUGAAACACACUUGAUAUUUCUGCACAGCUUGAUAGUUUUAGUUUUUUUUCUUUUCCAAAUGUAGUCUUAACCUUUUCUGACUAAGCAUUUUGUACCUCCUGCACCAUUAAAUUCUAAAUAUAUAUCCAAUUUUGUAUUGACUCUCUCUUUUGAAAUAAUUAUGAGUAUCAUUCUAUUUUUGUUCAGAGAGUUUUGAGUUGUGGUUUAGAUGAUGCUAUGUGGUUAAGUACUUGUCUCUCCCAGAAAGUUCACAAAAUAUCUAGAUAGCUAUAUGGUAAAAGUUUCUCUCAUUAGGUAAUCUUGAACUUUGUCCACUUUUCAUUAGCAAUUCAAACGUCAAGUCCUUUUUUUAGCUAUCUAGGUCUACCAUUUUUAUCAUUAAGUAGUUGAUAGUUCGGAUGAUGAGAUUUGCAGCAGAG